rnacentral:rRNA from 1 species
UCCCUUAGUAACGGCGAGUGAAGAGGGAUGAGCCCAGCACCGAAGCCUGCGACAGAUUUGUUGUUAGGCAAUGUGGUGUUCGGGUCGGCUGGCGGGACCGUAACUCCACUCGAAGUCCAGCAUUGAGUAUGGUUAUCAUUGGAUUUGGCCCAUAGAGGGUGAGAGGCCCGUACGGGUGGAGGUUCAGACAUGUGAAACGGUUCACCAGGUCGGCCUUAGAGUCGGGUUGUUUGAGAUUGCAGCCCAAAGUGGGUGGUAAACUCCAUCCAAGGCUAAAUACGGGCACGAGUCCGAUAGCGAACAAGUACCGUGAGGGAAAGUUGAAAAGUACUCUGAAGAGAGAGUAAAUAGUACGUGAAACCGCAUGCAGGUAAACGGGUGGCGUCAAACCGCGAGCCCGGAGGAUUCAGCUGGUUAGGUUGUUUUUUUUUUGUGGCCGGAAUAAAAUUUAGUGGUCUGCUCUUUCCUUGUGAGAGUGGAGCAAAGUACGAGGUGUGUGUGUGUGUGUGAGUGUUGCGUGCACUUGUAUUGUAACGCUUACAACUGCCCGCCUCCUCUGAGCUAUACGUGCCGGGUGGGUGCCGGAGUAUGCCACUUAUCUGUAGAGCCACCUAAUCAGUGCAAUUUCUCCGUGGUGAACAUCACGACCGAUGGAAUUGCCAGUCCACCGUGGUCAAGUCGUAUUUACCUGACUUUUAAGGAUUAGAUCAUCUAAUCUUUUAACAGUUAGAUAAAUGUGAUCGCAGGUGGAGCGAGUAAACGGCGUAGUGGUGCUUCGGUAUUGCUACGUGUUAUCGUGUACUCACCGCCAACGAGUUGCUGUGUAGUAAUGUGACUAGACUGCUAGCAGCUUGGCGGACUACGGUGGUAAAAAUGACUGUGCAAGGCAUCGGAUUUAUCCACCUCACACGUAUAUAUAUAUCAGUAAUGAUGUAUAUAUAUGUGAAUAGUAUCCGGCAGGCAUUUCACAUAUGUCAUUAUUAGAGACGCGUUGCUGUGUAUAUGCAUUAUAUGUGAUUGUCGUUUUGCCUACAAAAAAGUAGGUGCGGCAGUGGUGUAGUGCAUUAUUAAUAAUACAUGGUAUUACGCUGUUUCUGGUGCAUGUGAUACUGUGGGUGAAAUAGUCAGUGAUGCUGUGGUAGACGAGCUACCCGACCCGUCUCGAAACACGGACCAAGGAGUUUAACAUGUGUGCAAGUCAAAGGGCUAUACGAAACCCCAAGGCGUAGUGAAAGUAAAAAUUAUAUUGUAUUUAUUUACAAUAUAAUGAGGUGAGAUCCUAUUGUAUAUUAUUAUUUACAAUGGGCGCAUCACCGGCCCGUCCCAUGAUGUGGUCAUUGGCAUUUGAUAUGUGUAUAUACUUAUUGUGUAUGCUAAUGUCAGCUAA